AUGGAGAGAGAAGACCUAGUGACAGAGGUGAAGUCCAAAGAGAGAGUGACAAAGAAUGAAAUACUAUGAUCCUCUUUACUUGCUCAGAUUAACACUUCGGACCUCACAGUUCUGAGGAAUUUGAAGUUAUCUGUGCUGAGGACCUAUAACUUUCUGGAAGAAAAAAAAAAAGAUCAAACAGGAGCACAGACUUCUUAAGGAAGAUCUUUUGCAGUUAAUGAGUCCCCACGCAGCUGGACAGCUCCUCUCGGACACUGAGAACUCUAACCCCAAAAUGACCCCAAUUUGACACCGCAAGAUGAAAUUUU